rnacentral:lncRNA from 1 species
AAAAAGUCUACGUAAAAAAAGUCGAACACCUUCCCCGACUCCUACCUAUUUAUCGCAAAAUGCAAGCCGGAGAAGCAUAUCUCCGGCACCAGAUACCUCCCGGUCAAAAAGCACCGGUAAAAGGUGUACCCCAGAAACUAAAUUCUCUUCACUAGCAAAAAGUCGAACACCUUCCCCGACUCCUGCCGAUUUAUCGCAAAGUGCAAGCCGGAGAAGCAUAUCUCCGGCACCAGAGACCUCCCGGUCAAAAAGCACCGGUAAAAGGCGUACCCCAGAAACUAAAUUCGCUUCACUAGCAAAAAGUCGACCCCCUUCCCCGACUCCUGCCGAUUUAUCGCAAAGUGCAAGCCGGAGACGCAUAUCUCCGGCACCAGAUACCUCCCGGUCAAAAAGCACCAGUAGAAGGUGUACCCCAGAAACUAAAAUCUCUUCACCAGCAAAAAGUCCAACCCUAAAAGGAAGCGCACCUAUUGUAU